AGCGAACGCUGGCGGCAGGCUUAACACAUGCAAGUCGAGCGGGCCCUUCGGGGUCAGCGGCAGACGGGUGAGUAACACGUGGGAACGUACCCUUUGGUUCGGAAUAACGCUGGGAAACUAGCGCUAAUACCGGAUACGCCCUUUUGGGGAAAGGCUUGCUGCCGAAGGAUCGGCCCGCGUCUGAUUAGCUAGUUGGUGGGGUAAUGGCCUACCAAGGCGACGAUCAGUAGCUGGUCUGAGAGGAUGAUCAGCCACACUGGGACUGAGACACGGCCCAGACUCCUACGGGAGGCAGCAGUGGGGAAUAUUGGACAACGGGCGCAAGCCUGAUCCAGCCAUGCCGCGUGAGUGAUGAAGGCCUUAGGGUUGUAAAGCUCUUUUGUCCGGGACGAUAAUGACGGUACCGGAAGAAUAAGCCCCGGCUAACUUCGUG
rnacentral:rRNA from 1 species